rnacentral:rRNA from 1 species
UACGUAGGGGCUAGCGUUGUCCGGAAUCAUUGGGCGUAAAGAGCGUGUAGGCGGCCCGGUAAGUCCGCUGUGAAAGUCGGGGCUCAACCCUCGAAUGCCGGUGGAUACUGUCGGGCUAGAGUGCGGAAGAGGCGAGUGGAAUUCCUGGUGUAGCGGUGAAAUGCGCAGAUAUCAGGAGGAACACCAAUUGCGAAGGCAGCUCGCUGGGACGUAACUGACGCUGAGACGCGAAAGCGUGGGGAGCAAACAGG